UGGGGAAUAUUGGACAAUGGGCGCAAGCCUGAUCCAGCCAUACCGCGUGGGUGAAGAAGGCCUUCGGGUUGUAAAGCCCUUUUGUUGGGAAAGAAAUCCAGCUGGCUAAUACCCGGUUGGGAUGACGGUACCCAAAGAAUAAGCACCGGCUAACUUCGUGCCAGCAGCCGCGGUAAUACGAAGGGUGCAAGCGUUACUCGGAAUUACUGGGCGUAAAGCGUGCGUAGGUGGUCGUUUAAGUCCGUUGUGAAAGCCCUGGGCUCAACCUGGGAACUGCAGUGGAUACUGGGCGACUAGAGUGUGGUAGAGGGUAGCGGAAUUCCUGGUGUAGCAGUGAAAUGCGUAGAGAUCAGGAGGAACAUCCAUGGCGAAGGCAGCUACCUGGACCAACACUGACACUGAGGCA
rnacentral:rRNA from 1 species